AUUGAACGCUGGCGGCAGGCCUAACACAUGCAAGUCGAGCGGGGUUUUCGGACCUAGCGGCGGACGGGUGAGUAAUGCGUAGGAAGCUGCCCGAUAGAGGGGGAUACCAGUUGGAAACGACUGUUAAUACCGCAUAAUGUCUACGGACCAAAGUGUGGGACCUUCGGGCCACAUGCUAUCGGAUGCGCCUACGUGGGAUUAGCUCGUUGGUGAGGUAAUGGCUCACCAAGGCGACGAUCUCUAGCUGGUGUGAGAGGAUGCUCAGCCACACUGGAACUGAGAUACGGUCCAGACUCCUACGGGAGGCAGCAGUGGGGAAUAUUGGACAAUGGGCGCAAGCCUGAUCCAGCCAUGCCGCGUGUGUGAAGAAGGGCUUCGGAUUGUAAAGCACUUUAAGUUGGGAGGAAGGGCAGUAAGUUAAUACCUUGCUGUUUUGACGUUACCGACAGAAUAAGCACCGGCUAACUCUGUGCCAGCAGCCGCGGUAAAAC
rnacentral:rRNA from 1 species